rnacentral:misc_RNA from 1 species
CAACCCUCGAGCCCCUCCGGGGGGUCGGCGUUGGGGACCGGGACCCCUCACCGGGUGCCGGCCCUGAAAUGCAGUGGCGGUCUCGCCGCAGCCUCUCCUGCGCAGUAGUUUGCACAACUCGCACCGGGAGCGCGGCGCGUCCACGUCCGUAAAACACCCAACUUCUGAAA